CACGUAGGCGGUUUAGUAAGUCAGCCGUUUAAUCCCUCGGCUUAACUGAGGUUCUGCGGUUGAAACUAUUAGACUUGAGUACGGGAGAGGAGAGCGGAAUUCCAUGUGUAGCGGUGAAAUGCGCAGAUAUAUGGAGGAACACCCGUGGCGAAGGCGGCUCUCUGGACCGCUACUGACGCUGAGGUGCGAAAGCGUGGGGAGCAAACG
rnacentral:rRNA from 1 species